rnacentral:rRNA from 1 species
AUUGAACGCUGGCGGCAUGCUUUACACAUGCAAGUCGAACGGUAACAGGUUAAGCUGACGAGUGGCGAACGGGUGAGUAAUGCAUCGGAACGUGCCCGGUCGUGGGGGAUAACGCAGCGAAAGCUGCGCUAAUACCGCAUACGAUCUGAGGAUGAAAGCGGGGGACCGUAAGGCCUCGCGCGAUCGGAGCGGCCGAUGUCAGAUUAGGUAGUUGGUGAGGUAAAGGCUCACCAAGCCGACGAUCUGUAGCUGGUCUGAGAGGACGACCAGCCACACUGGGACUGAGACACGGCCCAGACUCCUACGGGAGGCAGCAGUGGGGAAUUUUGGACAAUGGGCGAAAGCCUGAUCCAGCAAUGCCGCGUGCAGGAAGCAGGCCUUCGGGUUGUAAACUGCUUUUGUACGGAGCGAAAAGGCUCUCUCUAAUACAGGGGGCUCAUGACGGUACCGUAAGAAUAAGCACCGGCUAACUACGUGCCAGCCGCCGCAGUAA